CGGGGCGUAGCGCAGCUCGGUAGCGCGCCUGCUUUGGGAGCAGGAUGUCGCAUGUUCGAAUCAUGUCGCCCCGACCA
rnacentral:tRNA from 1 species